CUGGAGCCACUGCUGUGAGUUUCUUUCAGGUAUCCUUUGGGGGUAGAGAAGGCUGCCUCUUGAGCCAGCUGAAGACAAAAUGGAGGGGGGUCUCCCAGGACUUUAUAUAGUUUCUUUCUUGUGCGUGGAAACCCCUUCCUCCCCCUGUGGAGAAUCCCCUCUACAAGAUGGAGUUUUGAAGUCACCUGGGCAAGUAACAUGUC